rnacentral:rRNA from 1 species
AGCAAUUAGGAAUCUUGUGCAAUGGGCGAAAGCCUGACACAGCGACGCCGCGUGAGGGAGGAAGGCCUUCGGGUUGUAAACCUCUUUUAACGUGGAAGAAACAAAUGACGGUACACGUUGAAUAAGCCCCGGCUAACUCCGUGCCAGCAGCCGCGGUAAUACGGAGGGGGCGAGCGUUGUCCGAAGUUACUGGGCGUAAAGCGCGCGUAGGCGGGCUGGCAAGUCCGCUGUGAAAGCCUGCGGCUUAACCGCAGAGGGUCGGUGGAUACUGCCAGUCUUGAAGGUGCUAGGGAGAGAUGGAAUUACCGGUGUAGCGGUGAAAUGCGUAGAGAUCGGUAGGAACACCAGUGGCGAAGGCGGUCUCUUGGAGCACUCUUGACGCUGAGG